rnacentral:rRNA from 1 species
AGGUCUCCUGAAGGAACGUUGAAGACGACGACGUUGAUAGGCCGGGUGUGUAAGCGCAGCGAUGCGCUGAGCUAACCGGUACUAAUGAACCGUGAGGCUUAACCUU